rnacentral:misc_RNA from 1 species
GAUGAAGAACGUAGCGAAAUGCGAUACUUGGUGUGAAUUGCAGAAUCCCGUGAACCAUCGAGUCUUUGAACGCAAGUUGCGCCCGAAGCCAUUAGGCCGAGGGCACGCCUGCCUGGGCGUCACACGUCGUUGCCCCCCCAUCUACUCCUUCGGGAUUGCGGGGGGCGGAUGAUGGCCUCCCGUGCGCCUCGUCGCGCGGUUGGCAUAAAUGCCAAGUCCUCGGCGACGCACGCCACGACAAUCGGUGGUUGCGAAACCUCGGUUGCCCGUCGUGUGCGGUCGUCGCGCAUCGAGGGCUCGAAAAAAUUGCCGGGUUCCGGCUCGGCUUUCAACGCGACCCUAGGUCAGGCGGGGUUACCCGCUGAAUUUAAGCAUAUCAAUAAGCGGAGGA